rnacentral:misc_RNA from 1 species
AAAAAACAUCAUCCCCUUCAGCCUGCCCAACUUUUCUCUCUCUUCUCUCAAACACUUCUCUGCUCAUUUGAUUAUCAAAAUUUUCCGCAUUCAACUUUGCUUUUUCCACAAACAAAAACCUUAUCUAAUUCAUCUGAAUUUUAGUUUUACAUUUAUAUGGUUUGCUUGACAAGUCAAAAUUUGUGCAAACCCAGACGAUUUGAAUCACAUUUCGUACCAUAUAUCAACGCAAAGACAAAAUUAUAUUUGAGGUUAAGAAAUUCGGAGGAAUAUUUAUCGGAGUUGAAAUUGAAAUCGCUAGCGUUUGGGACUAGAAGAAGAAGAAGAGGAAUUACAGCAGCAAUGGCGGUCGAAUUAGUGAAAUCGAAUGAAGCA